AUGCUUGCUCUGGGAGCACAGAUACUAAAACUAGAACGACAUACAGAAGGUCAGCAGAGCCCCUGUGGAGGACGACAUGAAAUACACAAAGUGUUCCAUAUUUUU
ensembl:snRNA U6 U6 spliceosomal RNA